rnacentral:misc_RNA from 1 species
AACAUCGCGCACCUGCGGGAACCUGCGGAGGGAUCAUUAUCGUGGGGCUCCGGCCCCGUCGAGAUAACACCCUUGCCUUUAUGAGUACCUUGGUUCCCUCCCCCGACCCCCGGGGAGCGGGAGGGGCCUCGUCCGUUUCCCCGCGAGGGGACCGCAAAACACGCUGUAAUCACCUGUAAACGUCUGAUACAACAAGCAAAAAGUCAAAACUUUCAGCAACGGAUCUCAGAUCGGAAGAGC